rnacentral:tRNA from 1 species
AGCUAUUUAGUUUAUUUAAAAUUUUUACUUGUGGAGUAAAGGAAUUUUUAGCUA